GUACUGAUGAAGAGUCCCAAACUAGGACGAAACAACUGGCUGUCCAGUAC
rfam:Trichobilharzia regenti genome assembly, scaffold: TRE_scaffold0000459